AUUGAACGCUGGCGGCAUGCCUUACACAUGCAAGUCGAACGGUAACAGGUCUUCGGAUGCUGACGAGUGGCGAACGGGUGAGUAAUACAUCGGAACGUGCCCGAUCGUGGGGGAUAACGAAGCGAAAGCUUUGCUAAUACCGCAUAAGAUCUACGGAUGAAAGCAGGGGACCGCAAGGCCUUGCGCGAACGGAGCGGCCGAUGGCAGAUUAGGUAGUUGGUGGGAUAAAAGUUUACCAAGCCGACGAUCUGUAGCUGGUCUGAGAGGACGACCAGCCACACUGGGACUGAGACACGGCCCAGACUCCUACGGGAGGCAGCAGUGGGGAAUUUUGGACAAUGGGCGAAAGCCUGAUCCAGCCAUGCCGCGUGCAGGAUGAAGGCCUUCGGGUUGUAAACUGCUUUUGUACGGAACGAAAAGACUCUGGUUAAUACCUGGGGUCCAUGACGGUACCGUAAGAAUAAGCACCGGCUAACUACGUG
rnacentral:rRNA from 1 species